rfam:Stegodyphus mimosarum contig84170, whole genome shotgun sequence.
GCCUUCGUGGUGUAGUGGUCUGCACACUCGAUGCGUAAUCGAGAGGUCCGUGGUUCGAUUCCCGGCGAAGGCG